rnacentral:rRNA from 2 species
UCUAAUACCGGAUAGGACCACUUGGCGCAUGCCUUGUGGUGGAAAGCUUUUGCGGUGUGGGAUGGGCCCGCGGCCUAUCAGCUAGUUGGUGGGGUGACGGCCUACCAAGGCGACGACGGGUAGCCGGCCUGAGAGGGUGUCCGGCCACACUGGGACUGAGAUACGGCCCAGACUCCUACGGGAGGCAGCAGUGGGGAAUAUUGCACAAUGGGCGCAAGCCUGAUGCAGCGACGCCGCGUGGGGGAUGACGGCCUUCGGGUUGUAAACCUCUUUCAGCAGGGACGAAGCGCAAGUGACGGUACCUGCAGAAGAAGCACCGGCCAACUACGUGCCAGCAGCCGCGGUAAUACGUAGGGUGCGAGCGUUGUCCGGAAUUACUGGGCGUAAAGAGCUCGUAGGUGGUUUGUCGCGUUGUUCGUGAAAUCUCACGGCUUAACUGUGAGCGUGCGGGCGAUACGGGCAGACUAGAGUACUGCAGGGGAGACUGGAAUUCCUGGUGUAGCGGUGGAAUGCGCAGAUAUCAGGAGGAACACCGGUGGCGAAGGCGGGUCUCUGGGCAGUAACUGACGCUGAGGAGCGAAAGCGUGGGGAGCGAACAGGAUUAGAUACCCUGGUAGUCCACGCCGUAAACGGUGGGUACUAGGUGUGGGUUUCCUUCCUUGGGAUCCGUGCCGUAGCUAACGCAUUAAGUACCCCGCCUGGGGAGUACGGCCGCAAGGCUAAAACUCAAAGGAAUUGACGGGGGCCCGCACAAGCGGCGGAGCAUGUGGAUUAAUUCGAUGCAACGCGAAGAACCUUAUCCUGGGUUUG